UACAGAGGUCUCAAGCGUUGUUCGGAUUCAUUGGGCGUAAAGGGUGUGUAGGUGGCGCGCUAAGUCGGGUGUGAAAUUUCGGAGCUUAACUCCGAAACUGCAUUCGAUACUGGCGUGCUUGAGGACUGGAGAGGAGACUGGAAUUCAUGGUGUAGCAGUGAAAUGCGUAGAGAUCAUGAGGAAGACCAGUGGCGAAGGCGGGUCUCUGGGCCGUAACUGACGCUGAGGAGCGAAAGCGUGGGGAGCGAACAGG
rnacentral:rRNA from 1 species